rnacentral:rRNA from 1 species
GAUGAACGCUGGCGGCGUGCCUAAUACAUGCAAGUCGAGCGAACAGACGAGGAGCUUGCUCCUCUAACGUUAGCGGCGGACGGGUGAGUAACACGUGGAUAACCUACCUAUAAGACUGGGAUAACUUCGGGAAACCGGAGCUAAUACCGGAUAAUAUAUUGAACUGCAUGGUUCAAUAGUGAAAGACGGUUUUGCUGUCACUUAUAGAUGGAUCCGCGCCGCAUUAGCUAGUUGGUAAGGUAACGGCUUACCAAGGCAACGAUGCGUAGCCGACCUGAGAGGGUAAUCGGCCACACUGGAACUGAGACACGGUCCAGACUCCUACGGGAGGCAGCAGUAGGGAAUCUUCCGCAAUGGGCGAAAGCCUGACGGAGCAACGCCGCGUGAGUGAUGAAGGUCUUCGGAUCGUAAAACUCUGUUAUUAGGGAAGAACAAAUGUGUAAGUAACUAUGCACGUCUUGACGGUACCUAAUCAGAAAGCCACGGCUAACUACGUG